rnacentral:rRNA from 1 species
CAAAGGAAAUGACGGGGACCCGCACAAGCGGUGGAGCAUGUGGUUUAAUUCGAAGCAACGCGAAGAACCUUACCAGCUCUUGACAUCUUCUGAUCACUCUAGAGAUAGAGCUUUCCCUUCGGGGACAGAAUGACAGGUGGUGCAUGGUUGUCGUCAGCUCGUGUCGUGAGAUGUUGGGUUAAGUCCCAUAACGAGCGCAACCCUUAUUGUUAGUUGCCAGCAUUCAGUUGGGCACUCUAGCGAGACUGCCGGUGAUAAACCGGAGGAAGGUGGGGAUGACGUCAAAUCAUCAUGCCCCUUAUGAGCUGGGCUACACACGUGCUACAAUGGACGGUACAACGAGUUGCGAAGCCGCGAGGCUGAGCGAAUCUUUAUAAGCCGUUCUCAGUUCGGAUUGUUCUCUGCAACUCGAGAACAUGAAGCCGGAAUCGCUAGUAAUCGCGGAUCAGAAUGCCGCGGUGAAUACGUUCCCGGGUCUUGUACACACCGCCCGUCACACCACGAGAGUUCGUAACACCUGAAGCCGGUGGGGCAACCCUUUUAGGGAGCUAGCCGUCGAAGGUGGGAUGGAUGAUUGGGGUG